rnacentral:rRNA from 1 species
CCUACGGGUGGCAGCAGUGGGGGAUAUUGGACAAUGGGGGAAACCCUGAUCCAGCGACGCCGCGUGAGUGAAGAAGUAUUUCGGUAUGUAAAGCUCUAUCAGCAGGGAAGAAAGAAAUGACGGUAGCUGAGUAAGAAGCGCCGGCUAACUACGUGCCAGCAGCCGCGGUAAUACGUAGGGGGCAGGCGUUAUCAGGAAUUACUGGGUGUAAAGGGCGCGUAGGCGGUAAUGCAAGUCUGGAGUGAAAGGCGGGGGGCGCACCCCGGGACUGCUGUGGAAACUGGGGAACUGGAGUGCAGGAGAGGUAGGCGGAAUGCGGGGUGGAGAGGUGAAAUGCGUAGAUAUUAGGAGGAACGCCGGGGGAGAGGGCGGCCUGUCGGAGUCUAACGGCCGGUGAGGCUCGAAAGCGUGGGGAGCAAACAGGAUUAGAGACCCGGGUAGUC